GACGAACGCUGGCGGCGUGCCUAAUACAUGCAAGUAGAACGCACAGUUUAUACCGUAGCUUGCUACACCAUAAACUGUGAGUUGCGAACGGGUGAGUAACGCGUAGGUAACCUGCCUGGUAGCGGGGGAUAACUAUUGGAAGCGAUAGCUAAUACCGCAUAAUAUUGAUUAUUGCAUGAUAAUUGAUUGAAAGAUGCUAUUGCAUCACUACCAGAUGGACCUGCGUUGUAUUAGCUAGUAGGUGAGGUAACGGCUCACCUAGGCGACGAUACAUAGCCGACCUGAGAGGGUGAUCGGCCACACUGGGACUGAGACACGGCCCAGACUCCUACGGGAGGCAGCAGUAGGGAAUCUUCGGCAAUGGACGAAAGUCUGACCGAGCAACGCCGCGUGAGUGAAGAAGGGUUUCGGAUCGUAAAGCUCUGUUGUAAGAGAAGAACGGGUGUGAGAGUGGAAAGUUCACACUGUGACGGUAUCUUACCAGAAAGGGACGGCUAACUACGUG
rnacentral:rRNA from 1 species